rnacentral:rRNA from 2 species
UGCAGUCGAGCGGACAGAUGGGAGCUUGCUCCCUGAUGUUAGCGGCGGACGGGUGAGUAACACGUGGGUAACCUGCCUGUAAGACUGGGAUAACUCCGGGAAACCGGGGCUAAUACCGGAUGCUUGUUUGAACCGCAUGGUUCAAACAUAAAAGGUGGCUUCGGCUACCACUUACAGAUGGACCCGCGGCGCAUUAGCUAGUUGGUGAGGUAACGGCUCACCAAGGCAACGAUGCGUAGCCGACCUGAGAGGGUGAUCGGCCACACUGGGACUGAGACACGGCCCAGACUCCUACGGGAGGCAGCAGUAGGGAAUCUUCCGCAAUGGACGAAAGUCUGACGGAGCAACGCCGCGUGAGUGAUGAAGGUUUUCGGAUCGUAAAGCUCUGUUGUUAGGGAAGAACAAGUACCGUUCGAAUAGGGCGGUACCUUGACGGUACCUAACCAGAAAGCCACGGCUAACUACGUGCCAGCAGCCGCGGUAAUACGUAGGUGGCAAGCGUUGUCCGGAAUUAUUGGGCGUAAAGGGCUCGCAGGCGGUUCCUUAAGUCUGAUGUGAAAGCCCCCGGCUCAACCGGGGAGGGUCAUUGGAAACUGGGGAACUUGAGUGCAGAAGAGGAGAGUGGAAUUCCACGUGUAGCGGUGAAAUGCGUAGAGAUGUGGAGGAACACCAGUGGCGAAGGCGACUCUCUGGUCUGUAACUGACGCUGAGGAGCGAAAGCGUGGGGAGCGAACAGGAUUAGAUACCCUGGUAGUCCACGCCGUAAACGAUGAGUGCUAAGUGUUAGGGGGUUUCCGCCCCUUAGUGCUGCAGCUAACGCAUUAAGCACUCCGCCUGGGGAGUACGGUCGCAAGACUGAAACUCAAAGGAAUUGACGGGGGCCCGCACAAGCGGUGGAGCAUGUGGUUUAAUUCGAAGCAACGCGAAGAACCUUACCAGGUCUUGACAUCCUCUGACAAUCCUAGAGAUAGGACGUCCCCUUCGGGGGCAGAGUGACAGGUGGUGCAUGGUUGUCGUCAGCUCGUGUCGUGAGAUGUUGGGUUAAGUCCCGCAACGAGCGCAACCCUUGAUCUUAGUUGCCAGCAUUCAGUUGGGCACUCUAAGGUGACUGCCGGUGACAAACCGGAGGAAGGUGGGGAUGACGUCAAAUCAUCAUGCCCCUUAUGACCUGGGCUACACACGUGCUACAAUGGACAGAACAAAGGGCAGCGAAACCGCGAGGUUAAGCCAAUCCCACAAAUCUGUUCUCAGUUCGGAUCGCAGUCUGCAACUCGACUGCGUGAAGCUGGAAUCGCUAGUAAUCGCGGAUUAGCAUGCCGCGGUGAAUACGUUCCCGGGCCUUGUACACACCGCCCGUCACACCACGAGAGUUUGUAACACCCGAAGUCGGUGAGGUAAC